GGCUUACCAUGCAAGUCGAGCGGUAACAGGGGUAGCUUGCUACCCGCUGACGAGCGGCGGACGGGUGAGUAAUGCUUAUGAAUCUGCCCAGUAGUGGGGGACAACAAUCGGAAACGGUUGCUAAUACCGCAUACGCCCUACGGGGGAAAGCAGGGGAUCUUCGGACCUUGCGCUAUUGGAUGAGCCUAAGUCGGAUUAACUAGUUGGUAGGGUAAAGGCCUACCAAGGCGACGAUCCGUAGCUGGUCUGAAAGGAUGAUCAGCCACAUCGGGACUGAAACACGGCCCGAACUCCUACGGGAGGCAGCAGUGGGGAAUAUUGGACAAUGGGGGCAACCCUGAUCCAGCCAUGCCGCGUGUGUGAAGAAGGCUUUCGGGUUGUAAAGCACUUUCAGCGAGGAGGAAGGCUCUAAAGCUAAUACCUUUAGAGAUUGACGUUACUCGCAGAAUAAGCACCGGCUAACUCCGUGCCAGCAGCCGCGGUAAUACGGAGGGUGCAAGCGUUAAUCGGAAUUACUGGGCGUAAAGCGCGCGUAGGUGGUUAGGUAAGCGAGAUGUGAAAGCCCCGGGCUUAACCUGGGAACGGCAUUUCGAACUGUCUGACUAUAGUGUGGUAGAGGGUAGUGGAAUUUCCUGUGUAGCGGUGAAAUGCGUAUAUAUAGGAAGGAACACCAGUGGCGAAGGCGGCUACCUGGACCAACACUGACACUGAAGUGCGAAAGCGUGGGGAGCAAACAGGAUUAGAUACCCUGGUAGUCCACGCCGUAAACGAUGUCUACUAGCCGUUGGGACUCUUGAAGUCUUAGUGGCGCAGCUAACGCACUAACUAAACCGCCUGGGGAGUACGGCCGCAAGGUUAAAACUCACAUGAAUUGACGGGGGCCCGCACAAGCCGUGGGAGCAUGUGGUUUAAUUCGACGCAUCGCUAAAACCUUACCUGGGCCUUGACAUCUACAUACUUUUCAGAGAUGGAUUGGUGCCUUCGGGAACUCUUGAGACAUGGUGCUGC
rnacentral:rRNA from 1 species